rnacentral:rRNA from 1 species
AACCUGCCGGUGGAUCAAUACUGAAUAUUAGCUCUUUGAUGAUGCUUUAUGUUCGGUGCGAUCUUUGCGAUCAACCCCCACAACUAAAACGGUCACCAUUGGCGUCUGUACGUACUGCUAACCGUCGUUAACCGUCGACGUGUAUCGAUCAGUAUGCUUAGCAUUCACAACACUCACGAUCCACUUUAUUGUAUAUGUGUGAGUGUUGAUGGAUGUAGACUUAAUGAAUAUCUGCUCCAGAUAUCGCCAAUAUUACAUUUAUGUUGUUCGUUUAUCAAAACACAUUACUACUCCUAGUGGUGGAUCACUCGGCUCGCAGGUCGAUGAAGAACGCAGCUAGCUGCGAUAGUUGGUGCGAAUUGCAAACACAUUGAGCACUAAAGUUUCGAACGCAUAUUGCGCCGUCGGUUUUUCCGUCGGCAGGUCUGUCUGAGGGUUACAAACAAGUACUUGCAAAAUAGCGCUAGCAUGUUGCGUAUUUUGUUUAACGAGAAGCUCGGUGUGCUGCGUGUGCGUGCGUGCGUGAUGAUAUGUGUAUAUCAUCACAUACGCACACGUCUGUAUCGUCCUUCUCUGGUUUGUCCAUCUCAAUGAUGAUAUAUGGAAUCACCUAAUUCACCUAACACGUGCAAGUAGUGUUUGAAAGUGUGAUGUGUUAUGGGUGUGUUUUCAUAUGUCAUUUUACAAUUGCAACCUCAGAUCAGUCCUGAUUACCCGCUGAAUUUAAGCAUAUCAGUAAGCGGAGGAAAAGAAACUAACUAUGAUUCCUUUAGUAACAGCGAGUGAACGAGGAAGAGCCCAGCGCUGAAUCUUUCGGUCUAUGGCCGCUAAGAAUUGUAGCGUAUAGGUGUAGCUUUCUACGGCCAAUGUAUACUCAAAGUCCCUUUGAUUGGGGCCACAGUCCUGAGAAGGUGCAAGACCUGUACGAGUUGCAUUGUGUUGUAGUCGGUUGCUCCUUGGAGUCGGGUUGCCUGAGAACGCAGCCUGAAUUGGGUGGUAAACUCCAUCUAAGGCUAAAUAGUACUGCGAGUCCGAUAGCAAACAAGUACCGUGAGGGAAAGUUGCAAAGAACUUUGAAGAGAGAGUUCAAGAGUGCGUGAAACCACUGGGAUGGAAACGGAUAGAGUUGACGAAUUGGGCGAUAUUCAGCUGUUUUGCGUGAGCAAAGUGGUGUACUUAUCGUCUGUGUGCGCUGAGAAUCUUGAUUGAACAUUCUGAACCGUCGUGCUGUUGCCCGUCGUCUCACGACGACGGUGUCUUGUGCGUUGCGGGUUGGGAUGUUUCGACUAAGUAUUUUCGGUGUGAAAGUCGACCACCUAUCCGACCCGUCUUGAAACACGGACCAAGGAGUCUAGCGUAUGUGCGAGUCAUUGGGUGGUAAACCUAUUGGCGUAACGAAAGUAAAGGUCGUUUUUUGCGGCUGAUAUGGGAUCCGUACGGUUUCGGCCGUGCGGCGCACCAUAGCCCUGUCUCGAAGGCUUGCCUUGAGAUGGAGGUAGAGCGCAUGCGCUAGGACCCGAAAGAUGGUGAACUAUACGUGAGCAGGAUGAAGCCGGAGGAAACUCUGGUGGAAGUCCGUAACGGUUCUGACGUGCAAAUCGAUCGUCUGACUUGCGUAUAGGGGCG